GACGAACGCUGGCGGCGUGCUUAACACAUGCAAGUCGAACGAAGUGGCGAACGGGUGAGUAACGCGUAAUCAACCUGCCCUUCAGAGGGGGACAACAGUGGAAACGACUGCUUAAUCCGCAAACUGAAGGUGGGGAUUGCGUCUGAUUUGCUAGUUGGAGGGGUAACGGCCCACCAAGGCGAUGAUCAGUAGCCGGUCUGGGAGGAUGAACGGCCACAUUGGGACUGAGACACGGCCCAGACUCCUACGGGAGGCAGCAGUGGGGAAUCUUCCGCAAUGGACGAAAGUCUGACGGAGCAACGCCGCGUGAGUGAUGACGGCCUUCGGGUUGUAAAGCUCUGUUAAUCGGGACGCGGUACCGGAAUAGAAAGCCACGGCUAACUACGUGCCAGCAGCCGCGGUAAUUC
rnacentral:rRNA from 1 species